rnacentral:lncRNA from 1 species
AAAAAGAAAAAGUAAACAAGAGCCUCAACAAAUAUAAAUGGGUUGUAAGCCUGCUCAAUUGUCAACACGGCCUGGGCUAUAAAUAUGAGAUCAAUAUUAACAAUUGGGCUUAAUUUUAGCAUUUGGACCCACUGAAGUUAAUGGAUUCAAUGGUUGACGGGCUUAAAAUGACACAGGCUGAGGCUGGUCUUGGUUUGGAAUUGGAGGGCUAUGUGCUCCAAGCUUCCCAUUUAUCAGUCAAAUCUCAAAAAUUUUACCAUCCAGAUUAAACUAACAUAAUACAUCUUUAUUUGGAAUAAAUUAUUUGUAAAAAAAAAAAUUAAGCAUGAUUGAUGUGUUGAUUCUAUUGUCAACAUCGCACUCAUCAUAGGGUUCCCACUUUUAACGACACGAUUGACGAGUUACUCUCAAUUCUCUAAUCUCUACUUCCUCAUAUCAUAUAUACAAUGGUCCUUUAUGAUACAAUACCCCAAUAUAUUGUAAACCUCAAGGAUUGGAUAACAAUAAGAGUUUUAUCGAACAACAUGAUUGUGUUUGGCUAACCUGAAAAUCCAAGGCAGCCACUGAGCUUUCAAUAUUGUGCACGUUCAUGGGUCCCAACAUAAUGCCAAUUUGAUCUCUUUCCUGAUUUUUUUUUUUUAAAUUAUAAAGAAAGAGCAGACGGGAGAUAAUACAUAUGGUGCUACUCUUACUCUAUACUAAGAUAAAUUUUGUUUUAGUGCAAGUCAUGAGGUGUUAUUAAUUUAUAUUUACAUUUUUUAAAUUAUAUGGACAGAAGAAUGUGCUAGAAAUUCUCAAGUCUAACGUAGAUCAAGUUCCAUAUUCAAAAUGGGUAGGUGACAUAAAUGUGAAACUAUGGAAAUUGAAAAGUUACAUAAUUCCCUGCACGAUACAUGUAUUGACGGAGACCUGGCCACCGCCCAGUAGAUCAAGUGGAGUUGGUUGCUGUAUACCUCACAUAAAAUGACUGGUAUAGUGAUCCAAUGAUCCUGCCCUAUUGUGCACAUAUAAGUAUAAGAUAAUUUUUCAUGGUGAUUAGGAAUAAAGUCAUAUAUUGGAACUUUGUUAAAUCAAACUCCAUAUAAAUAUAAUUAAAUAAGGUGAAUUGAGUUUAAAAAAAAUUAAAUCGUUUUCGCAUAUUUAUAUUUUAGUUUAAUUUUUUAAUUUUAAUUUAAUUGAUUUAACAUUUUAAUAUAAUUUUAAUUAAUUUUUAAAUUUUUAAAUUUUAUAAUUUAUGUGAGAAUUUGAUAUAUCACAUAUAUUAUCAUAAUUAUUUUUAAUUGAUUAAAUAAUUAAAAAAUACUUAAUAUUUAUAUUAUUUAACAUUUUAAUUUAAAUAUUUAAAUUUUAGAUAAAUUGACUUAACAUUUAUAUUUGAAUAUAAUUUUAAUUUAUUUUUAAAAUUAAAAUUAAUAAUCUAAAAAUUAAAUAUAUACUUCAUAUAUUCAAUAGUAAUAAAUUUUAUUUCAUAAUAAUAAUUACGAAUAUUUUAUAAUAAAUAUAUAUUUAAUUUAAAAUAAAAAAUAUGUAUAAAAUAAUUAAAAAUAAUAUAUUUAUUAUAAAAUUUUUAUAAUUAUUAAUAUAAAAUAAAAUUUAUUUACUGUGUGAACUGUGAAGCGCAUAUUUAAUCAUUAAAUUACUUUAUUUUAAAAUUAAAAAAAUAUGAAUUAAUAUUAUUUAUAUAUAAAAUUAAUUUAUAUUUAAAAAUAGUAAAAUAUUAUAUUUAACAUUCUAUUUAAAUUUUUUUAUAUUUUAAUUUAUAAAAAUUGACUAAAAUUAUAUUUAAAUAUAAAUAUUAAGUUAAUUAAAAUAAAAUUUAAAUAUUUAAAUUAAAAUAUAAAAUAAUAUAAAUAUUAUAUUUUUUUAGUCAUUUAAUCAUUAAUAAUAAUAAUAAUAAAACACAUAUUAUAUUAAUUAUAUAAUUAAAUUAUCAUAUAAAUUAUUAAAUUUAUAAAUUAAUUAAAAUUAUAUUAAAAUAUAAAAAUUAAAUUAAUUAAACUAAAAUUAAAAUACAAACAGACUCAAAGUUGAGUGAAUUAGCCAUUAAUUAAUGAAUAGAAAACCAGAGACUGGAAAUUUAUUAUGAAUUAUAAUCCACAUUUGUCGGUCGGUGACCCUCUCCCUCUCUUUUUUUUAGUAUAACUAUGUAACGUCAACAGCCACCCAAGAAUAUUAAGAAAUUAAAUUGUUAGCAUUUUAAUAUCCAGGAAAAGAAAUUCAAAUUAAACAGCUAAAAUGGAUUCUCUCGAUAAGAUCGUCAUCAAUGACAUGCCUAUAAACACAUGCUUGCUUAUGUACUGAAAUGGAAAGUAAAAGGCUAGCGGAUACGUCUUGUCUCCAAAUGGAGAAACAGCAGAUUCAUCUCCAUUAUUAAAAAAAAAAAAAUUAAAAUUAAAAUUGAAUAAAUGCUGGCAUACAAAAGUUUUGAUUUUUUUUUCUUCUUCUUAAUUUUCACUUUCCAUACAUGCCAACGUGAAUCUAGGGUUUCAAGUAUCUGAUUUAUUAUAAUUAAUGUGGUUUAAAAUACGUUCUUCUAGGAGUCAGAAAUACAAUUUUAAUAAAAUAUGUUCCUCCCGUUUUCUCUCGGUAGUUCCUGCGGCGGCUUAGUUCUUUUUCUCUAUUAUUUACUAAAAAAAAAAAUACUGUGAUAUAGGUGAUUUUAAUUCCAGAUAGGCUUUCAGGUAUCUGAAUUAUAAUUCGGUCUAAAAUAUUUUAUAUUAUAAUUUAAAUGAAAUUUAUUUAUGAGUUUUAUAAUGAUAAAUUAAUAAUAAAAAAGUUUAUUUUCUUAUAUAAUCAUCAUUUUUUUUCAUUUUUCUAUCCAAUAAAUUAUUAUAAUUUUAAACUUCCAUAUUCAAAAGUAACAUAAUAAAUUUUGAGAGAACGUAGGAAUGGAUUAUAAAUUUUAUUUUAUUUCUAAUAUUUUUCCUCCAAUUUAUUUUCUUUUCAUUUAAAUAAAAAUGAGUAGAAAAUAAAUUUAUUUUAUUCUCAAAUUUUCUUCCAUCCCAAUUUUUUCCCUAAUCCAAACAUGGGUAAGUCUAAUUUGAUAUAAAAUUUAACUAAGAAUGCUUGGUUUUAGUUAGAAUUGAAUUCAAUUCAAAAUUUAUUAAUUCGAUUGUACUUUGAAUCGACCAGCAGCCGAUGUAAGCGUGUUGUUGAAUUGAAAAAGAGGGAGCUAUGAAUUGUCAAGAGAAAUAUAGAAAAAGGGGAUUGACAUUUGAGAGAGUAAAACCUCGUGCUUCUCGAGGAAAGCUGUGUCCCAAAAUUCGCUGAGAAACAAAUCCUAGGCUUUGGAUCGUUACGCCCCUCAACUAGUCGUAGCUGUAUUUUCCUUUUUUCGCUCACGCCCCCUCUAUAUUGAAACGUCCUGCCUUUUGGACCACGUAAAAAAAUACAUAUAAUAUAAUUAUAAGUUUUUUUUUGUUAUUUUAUAUUAUUACUCUAAAUGAAAAUUCGCAACGUGGACUAUAACUGGCCCCUAUAUUAUUAUUUAUAUUUUUGAAUACGAAAGCAGAAAAAGAAAAGGAGAAAAAAAAACAAAGGAAACGCGUGAUCCGUAGCUACCAAUCACGCAGGCUUUAUACUUUGGGCGGAGUAGAUCAUAGGCGUACGACCCCGUGAUCGGCAUAUGGCAUUCAAACGACUGCGCAACAGUCAGAAACACAGCUGCACAGUAAAUUGAAGGCUAUUCACUCACUUCACAGCGCUGCACACAGGCUCUUCAGGGCGCUACAGUUUUCACCGCUCUCGACCUUUUUUUAUUUUUAUUUUUGUUUUUAUGUAGGUUUAUAAUUUCUCUAUCAUGCGCUUUUCGGCAUUCUCUAGAGACGCAGAGAGCUGCGAAAAUCGCUAUGGACGAUGAAGCACCGGUGGUUUAUUCAUGGUUUUGACGGACUUUUCAUCGAGCAUCUCAGGUGCCCUCAAGCCCCACAUCCCCAAAUCACUUUUUGUUUGUUUCCGGCUUUUUGUUUAAUAUUUUAUAUAUUUACUACAUAAUUAGCUGAAGUUUAUUUAUCUUUUUAUAAUUAUCUGUUGAGUACUAUGUGCUCAAUUACUGUCUCUAAUAUGCACGGAUCUGUUUGUGUGUAGCUUUUGAGAUUUGGGUUCGUUUUAUCACAAUUUCUGGCUAGUUUAUCACAUUUUUAGUUGUUUAUCUCAUAAGGUUUAGUGAAUUAGAACUGGGAUCCGUGUUUUUUUUUAUUAUGAUUAUGGGCUUUUCAUGAUCUUUUUUUAAAUUAAUGGGCUUUCAGCAUUCUGACAGUGUUUUGCUUGGUGGAAUUUAGCACACUGCCUAGGGUUUUAUUGAGAUGAUUGGGAUCCUAUGAUUUGACGGGUUGACUCGUUGAGUCGCCAUGGAAAGUUUCAGUGAAGAAGAGGAUCAGUUCUUUGAAGCCCGCGAGGACAUUAGAUCUGUAUCUGAUUCGAGCUCUGAUUGCCCGGAGAAUUUAGAUUCUGAUUGUGGGGUAGUUGAUUCCUUGCCUAUUAGUACUAAUUAUGAGGUUUGGAUUAAGAGCCUGGGCAGCAUUCAUGAACGGCGCAAUAAAUUUCUCAGGUGGAUGGGUUUGAAUUUUGAUGAGACCACGAGAGAUGAUCCUGGUAAUCCAUCUUCACAGGAAACAGAAGUUCAGACUGAUAGAAUGACAGAACAUGGUGGGGCGGUUCUAAGAUCAUCAAAUUUUGAUGAUAGGUUUUCAUCAAGCCAUUCUUCCAUGUCAUGUUGUUCAAGUGAUACCUUAGACUUGUUAGAUGGAGUGUUGGAGGAGAAUUUCAUGUAUAGAAUUAGAAACUUGGAUGAUGGGACAGAGUUUAUUGUGGAUGAAGAUGGUUUGUCUGGGAGGAUACGUCAAGUGGGAUCGAAUCGAUUCCUUACAGUGGCAGAGUUUGAGAGGAGUCUAGGAUUAUCCCCUCUUGUUCAGACAGUGAUGCGGAGAGAAGCUGAAGCGUUGUCUAAAUUUAGGGCAGCAAGAAAGCGGGUGAAGAGAGGAUGGUUGAGGAGAUUAGGUGUUGUUGCUUGUGUUGUUGAUAGGCAAGUUGAAACUGGAGGUAUGGGAGAGGAUGAACCCUAUUCUGUUGCAAGUGCUAGGGCUCAAAUUGUCAGAGUUCGGUCAUAUAAGAAGCGGGUCAAGGAAUUUUCUGCUCUUUAUAUGAGACAAGAUUUUCCGGCCCAUGAAGGCUCUAUUUUGACAAUGAAGUUCAGUCCUGAUGGCCAGUACCUUGCAAGUGCUGGUGAAGAUGGAAUUGUGCGUGUAUGGCAGGUGAUGGAGUUAGAGAGAUCCAAUGAGUUUGGCACACUUGAUAUUGAUCCUUCGCAUGUAUAUUUCGAAAUUAAUAAUCUUUCUGAAUUAGUUCCUCUUCGUGCUGAUAAAGAGAAAAAGGGGAAACUCAAGAAUCUGCUAACAUCAGACUUGGCUUGUGUUAUCUUUCCUCAAAAAGUAUUCCAAAUAUCAGAGAAACCAAUCCAUGAAUUUUAUGGGCAUUGUGGAGAGAUCUUGGACCUCUCCUGGUCAAAGAAUAAGGUUAGUGAAUCUCAGAAUAAUUUACUUAUUCUGGAUUGCUAAUGUUGAAUUUUAUUUCUGAUUGCCAUACUGUAUGCAGCAUCUCCUGUCAUCUUCUACGGAUAAGACUGUUCGGUUGUGGAAAUUGGGCUGUAAUCAAUGUGUGGAAGUCUUUUCCCACAAUAACUAUGGUGUGUUCUUUGACUUUUUGUUUUCCUAAGAUUACUCAUGCUGUGUUAUUUGUAUUCAAGUGCCUAAUUGAUCUGUUCCACUCAUUUUAAUGUGUAUCCAUUUUGAUUGGUUUCUAUUCAUGCUACCUGUAAUACAGUUACAUGCAUUCAGUUUAAUCCCACGGAUGAUGAUUCAUUCAUCAGCGGUUCCAUAGAUGGGAAAGUACGCAUCUGGGCAAUUCCUGGUUGCCAAGUUAUUGACUGGACUGAUGUUACAGAAAUUGUUACAGCUGUUUGUUAUCAACCUGAUGGAAAGGUUAGGAGUUGACAUCUCUAGUUAGUUUCGCACUGUGAGCAUGUGUCAUUAAUUGUAAUGAUUUUGAGUGCAUUGCUUUCUCUUGCAGGGUAUAGUAGUUGGCUCCAUGACUGGCAAUUGUCGGUUUUAUGAUGCUUCUGGUAUGCUUUUAAUUUUCUUAUGUUAUUUUGUGCAGGCAAAUAGAAUAUAUAGCGGCAUAUUGAUAUCUUACAGGGUUCAAAUGCCAAAUUAUUCUCUGUUCAUGCAGUUAUUGCGUGUUAUGUGCCAUGUUGUUGUCAUCUAUGUUAGUCAUAAAAUAUUGUUGUCUUUUUCCCUUUUUUUUUUCUAUUUUUAAUCGUUCAGAUACCCCUUAAAAUUUACCCCUGCCUAUGUCCGCAAUUCUGAGCAAGUCUUUUGCAUUCUUGUGCUUGUUGCACUUUUUAAUUUUGGAAUGAGACUCUUUCUACUUCCUAUAUGGCUUAACCCAGUUAUUUUGUCAGCUUGUAUUUUAAAUCCAUGAUACUGAAACUUGUAGUACUGAUAAAGGAGUUGAAUAAGUGGAAAUUGCAGACUACCAAUUGUGAUUAUUUUCUAUUGAAACAAGUGUGAUUUGAACAUCAUGCUAUGAUGCAGGAGGCUUUCUUUGGCGAGCACUAACUGGUGUAUUUUGCAUGGAUCAGAUAAUCGUCUGCAGCUGUGUACGAAAGUGUGCUUACAGGGUAAAAAGAAGUCGCCAUUCAAGAGGAUAACUGGCUUUCAGGUGAGCAGAGGUUUUCAUUUAAUUAUAGUCCCUGUCCUACUCCUUUUUGUUUUCUGUGUUCUUUGGGCUGUAUUGGCUUACAUGUAAAGUUCAUAGAGUUGCCAUUUUGCCCUGCAGUUUUCCCCUAGUGACCCAACCAGAUUAAUGGUUACUUCUGCUGAUUCAAAAGUCCGUAUCCUCAGUGGGGUUGAUGUGAUAUGCAAAUAUCGAGGUGCAUAUGCUUUCCUUACCUUUCUAGCUUACAAAUACUUUCUGUUCUGGUCUUGUCAUAGAAAUCCAAAUUCUAAAAUCCACGUGCUUUGUCUCAUGUUUGCUUCUUCUUUUAUUCGUCUAUCAUUUAUGUGUACAGGGAUACAUAAUGCAGGAAGUCAGAUAUCUGCGUCUUUUACACCAGAUGGCACACACAUUAUUUCAGCAAGUGAGGAUUCUAACGUCUAUGUCUGGAACUAUAGUAGCCAGGAUUUGCCUGUUCCUCAUUCAAAGAACAAUUGGGCAUGUGAGCGGUUCUUCUCAAAUAAUGCAUCAGUUGCUAUACCCUGGUCUGGAAUCACGUGUGGGAAUUCUUUUUCCUCAAAUAUAUUUGGGACAAUGUUGUCAUUCAUGAACUUGGGCCAAUGCAAUGAUGAAAGAAUUUUGGUGCAUUCUGAGCUGGGUGAGAGUUCAGAAUUAAGUUUGCCAUUUUCUUCACCUGAUCAUUUCUCACGGAGCCAAGGAUUUUUCUCUGAAUCAUUAUCCAAGGGUUCUGCAACCUGGCCAGAGGAAAAGCUUCCUUUGAGCUCACCGCGAAUAUCAUCUAAACUGUGUAAAUCCCAUUACAAGUUUUUGAAGACAUCUUUCCAGACUAUGUAUGGUUCUCAUGCAUGGGGUUCAGUAAUUGUGACAGCUGGCUGGGAUGGACGGAUCAGAUGGUUCCAGAAUUACGGAUUGCCAAUUUGCAUCUAAAUAUGUCAAGGUUCAGAAGACCCUGAAGGGAUUUUUUUUCUUUGAGAAAUUUGCCUGCCUUUGGCAAAGCUCAGGUUUCCAUUUUCCUGACUGCACCCUCGUCGAUUGAGUGUGGGAUACAACACAUGCAUGAGCUGAAUAUGUAUCCAUACCCAUGGCAGGUCCUGUGCUGUCUAGUUUACAUGCAUAAGCAAUGGUUGAGAUGUUAAAGCAUUCUUUGGUUCACUGUCUGGCAGAACAAGAAUAUUAGGUGCACAAAAUUGAAUUGUAUAUGUGCCCAGCAUCAAUAGCCUUAUAGACCCAGCUGGUUGGUUAUCCAGUGUACAUACCAUUCUUUGAUUUAUUUUCUUAGCAGUAUGGUGGCUGCUUACCCAAUAUGAAAUGCAGAGUUCUGUUGACGGUCAGGGAGGAUUUUUAGUUUUGUGGGUGCAUGUUGAGAGUCCGUUUUGUGGUAUGCAUUGGGGGAGAUUAGCACUGACCGCUGACAUUGGAAGUCGGCAGACUUGAAGAUAGUCGGAUUCGCAAAUGAUUUCAUCCGUCUCUUUCUAAUGAGAGUUGCAUUUGGUUUUCUGAUUUAAUCAUCAUUAACCCAAGUUAAGCAUCUAGUUUGGAAAGGGUUACGUCGUUGGAAGCUGCUAGAAUUUGCCCAUCUCAAGUCUCCAGGCUUUCCAGGAAAGAAGGGCGAUUCUAAAUCUGUUAAAGCUUGUAUUUUUUUUUUGGGGUCAAAGGGAAAUUUCCUUUAAGCCUCGGGUGCUUUGUCACAGUGGCAAAAAGAAUAUACUUGUAUUAGAUCUGGUUACCAUUUUCAAGUGUAAUAUACCUGUGGAAAAGAAAUUUUUCAUAUUGAUGUUACUCGUGAAUUGUGGGUUUGACGCAUGACAUUUUGAUGUGAAUGUUUGAUAUUUCAAGUUCAAAGCUAUUACUAGUUUGUUUGCUUGAAUUGCAUGAUAAUGCAUAGCCAGCCACAACGGCGGCAAUUUACAAGCAGGAUAACAAAAAUUCAUGCCGACACAUUUGAGGUAAAAACAACUUCCCAAGUAAUGGUCCUAUAAAAUAUAAGAAAAUUGAUUUUCAGUCGGUCAUCUCAUUCAGGUGUUUUUAUUUAUUUAUCUGUGUAAUUUUUUCAAAAAAUAAAGUUAUUAAUUUUAUUUAUCACUGGACAUCAUUUGUUGAUUAUUUAUAAAGUAGAUUAACUGUCGUAUAAUCUUUUACUUGUUUUUUUUUUUUUUUCAUCAUUUACCAUUUGAUUCCCGUUUACCAUUAAUAGCACUUUGAUUCUCAAAUUUUAAAAUAAACAGAUACUCAUACUUAUAUUAUUAUAUCUUGAUAAAUUAUUUUCCUCCUACUUUCUCAUUUAGAUCUUUCAAUGCUUAAUUUUAGGAAAGAGAUCUGUAAAAUAUAAAAAAUAUAUCAAGAGUCUAUUAUGAAUAUUUUCAAUAAAAAUCCUUCAACUUUCAAGUCAGAUCUGUCAAUGUGAAAUGUAAACUGGAAUGAAGUUUUAAUAAUAGGUAGAAGAUGCUGAGAAAGUAAUAAACAAGAAGAAAAAAAGUUGUAGAAGAAGAAAAAGAAAAAAUCUCAUUUGUGUGUGGAGAAAGUCCCUCUUAAAAAUGAUAGAGAAACUCUCUUAUCAAGAUCUGUCCACCUUAAAAAAUAGACUCUCUUUCAUCUUGUUAACUGCUGUUUAUAGAGAAACGUGAGAAUAUUACUUAACAUAUUUAAAAAUGAAGUCUAUUUUUUUAAAUAAAAUAAUAUUAUGAUUUUUAUAUAUUAUUAUAUGUCUUUUUACUUCUCUGAGAAAUAUUUAUAACGGUUAGAGAAGGGAAUAUGAUUCGUCAAUUUAACUCCGACUAUCCAUUCAGUAAACAUUUAUGAAUUUUGAAGGAAUGUGCGAUCAAUUGAGUCAGACGACUAAAUAUAGAUUUAGACUAAGUGAAUAUGUUUUAAAAAAGUGAGAAAAUUUUAAAUGUAUUAUUUUGAUAAUAGAAUUGUUUUUCUUUUAUUUCAAAAGUCUUAUCUUUAGAGUUUUGGCCAUGGGAAACCUUACCUUCAUUGUUCUUACUAUAGAGGUAUGGCUGAGGGAGGUUUUAUAUUGAUGAUCUUUUUUCAGAAGAUCUGAUCUUGGUAGUUUGGUUAUGAGUGGUCUUACUUUUGAAUAUCUUACUUUGAAGGUCUGAUUUAUAUUUCUUUCUGACCUUAGAGGUCUUCCCUUCCUUAAAAGAGGUCUUUUCUUCUGACCUUAGAGGUUUUCCUUUCCUUAGAAGAGGUCUUUCCUUCUGACCUUGACUUUUUUUUUUAAAAUAGGGAUUGGAGACUGGGAGAGUAGAAUCUGAAAUCUCUCAGAUUUACUCAGAUGCACUUACCACCAGGCUAAGCCUGUGAGUGCCUUUUGAACUGACUUUAGAGGUCUUCACUUGUCUUCCCUUCCUUAGAAGAGGUCUUACCUUCCGACCUGAUCUUAGAGGUCUUUCCUUUCUUAGAGGUCUUUCCUUCUUUAGAAGAGGUCUUACCUUCCGACUUGACCUUAUAACUCUUCCCUUCCUUAGAAGAGAUUUUUCCUUCUGACCUUAGAGGUCUUCCUUUCUUUAGAAGAGGUCUUUCCUUCUCGAGGGAGGUCUUUCACUUUGAGGAAUACCUUCUCUUUUGGUGUUUUUAAUUUUAAAUUAAAUUUUAAGCAGUUGUAUGAGGUUUUUUUUAGACCUAUAAAUCUCUCAUAUAAUAAUUUUUUUAUAGGAUCUAUUGGUCUUAUUUUAUAUUUUGAGUUCUUUCAUUGAAUUUUUUCUAGACUUGUUGAUCUUAAACUUUAUUGAGAGCGAAGUGAUGCCCCUUACUUCAAGUAUGAAAUUUUAUAUAAUGUCUUGAAGUAAUAUGUUAUUUCAUAUAUUUUUCUAAUAUGCUAUUUUAUAUAUUUUUCUUCUUCUUCUCUCUCUUCUUUUUUUAUUUUUAUUUUUUUGAGGUUCUAACCUUGUUAUCUUUCGUGCAUUUUAGCUUCAGUCAGUCUUUCGAGCUUUUUAGCCCUUCACCGAGUACCUUUGGUCCUCAGUUGUUUUUUGGGUUUUUUUUUUAUUUUUUACUCUUGGUCUACUUCUGAGUAUUUCUACUCUUAUACUUCUUCUGGACUUUUUAUCCCUAGUCUAUUUCUAAGCAUUUUUGUUCUGGAGCGCCUUCUGAACACUUAGUUUUGAGUUUGCUUCUUGAACUAUUUGCUUCUUGAAAUUCAGACCCAUGAUUUUACUGAUAAUUUUCGAGAUUUAGACUCGUGACCUUACUGGCGAUUUUCAGACUUAAUAGCCUUUCUCUUGUUUUUUUAAAAUUUAUCUGCAAAAUAAAAAUUUAUACGAUGCAUACAUAACGAGAAUACUUAUUGUAAAUUUAAUAAUAUUUAUUAAUAAAUAAUACAUUAUACAUGAUAUUCAAUUUCAUAUUUUCAGAUAAAUAUAAAUGUUAGUUUUUUUUUUUUUUGAAAUAGGGGUUGGGGGAAUCGAAUCUUAGACCUCUCAAGUCUAUCAGGAUGCACUUUCCACCAGUCUAAGUCUCGGAGUGCAUAUAAAUGUUAGUUUUCACUGAUAAAAUUAACUAAUAUAUAUAAUUUAAGGUCUCUAAAGAAAAAUAUUUUGUGUAUAUAAUUUUUUUAACAAAUUUUUUAAUUCGUAACGCAAUACUUUUAUAUAUAUAUAUUUAGAAUAUUUAUGCUAAACUUAAUUAAUAAUAAAAACUUCCAUGCUAAGCUAAUAUUUUGAGUAUAAUGUGUCCUACAUUUAUAUGUAUUUGUGUUUACAAAUAAAUAUGAGAAAAUCCAUAGCAUUACAAGAGAAAGAGAAAGAUGAAUAUAAAAUUUUAAUAUUAAAAAAAUAAUUCUACUGCUUAAAAUGAAUAUAUUAUUUAACCUAGUUAUAUUUAAAUUUAUACGGUUAUCUUCGAUUAAUUUUAGAAAUUAAAUUAAUUUAAACACUUUAAUAAUAAUUCAUUCAUGUUCCAUGUGCAAAAAUUGAAUUUUACCUUUGAUUUUAUUUUAAACUAGUGACUCAAUGCUUUAAGUUUUGAGUUAAACAUGCAUCUGCACCUGUUAGAUAAUCAAUGCAUGGCCUUAUUAUGGACCUUUGAUCUUAUCAGGGCAUUCUAAAGCAUUAUUAAAACAAAUAAAUGUAACGAUUGUGUACAGGGCCCUAUAGCAUGGCAACACGUGUUGUGGUAAUUAAAAUGGGCACUUGUCGAUUCUUGACCUUUGUCAGGACCCAUUUUACAUUUGCAAUUUACGACUGCCAGGUGGGUUUUAUGAGGUCGGCCAGUCCGACAAAAUAGAUUUAGUAUUUAUUUUCACAUGUAUUAAAAAUAUAAUUAAUAUUAUUUAAACAACAAUUUUUUAAUUAUUUUUUCUAAUAUAUCUUCACUAGUAUUGUUUUAUUAUUAAAUUAUUUUUAAAAUUAAUAAAUUUUAAUUUUUCAACAUAUAUUGUGAAAAUAUAUUAAAAAAUUAAUAAAUAAGUUAUUAUAUUAAAAAACAUAACUUGUAAUUAAAAAUAGAUUAAAAUUAAAAUAAAUCCAUCGAUUUACUCUAUAAAUAUAGAUAACCGGAUGUAAAUAUAUAAAAUAAGAAAAUAUUAUAUUGAUUGGAUAUGAGCAACCUCUCCGGAUCUAAAAAUAUAUUUUCUGAAAAAUAGUUAAGAUUGAUAAUGUAUAUGAGAUAUUUUUUUCUUUGACUUUAAGUUGGUGGUGUUUUAUUAAAACUGUAAUUUCUUUACUCUAUUGCCAUCCAUUUUAAUCUUAACUCUUUCAGUUAUAUUAAAAUUUUUCUCUUCAUUAGAAAAUUUCUUUUUCUUGUGAGAGUUAGAGUCCUGAUUAAAUUGAGUUUUAUGAGAGUGGUUUUCGAAUUUAGGAGCCAAUUUGAUAGGCUUUGGCAUUAUAGCCAAAGUCUAUUUCAGUUUUGGAGCACAUCAAAUUGGCUCCUUACGCAGACUAUCAUACAACUCAAUUUAAUGAGGACUUUAACUCCUAUAAGGAAAACGAAAUACCUAGUAAAAAAGAGAUUCUUAGUACAACUUAAAGAGUUGUUUAAUAGAUAAACGAAUUCUACUCCUAAUAAGAUACCACCAAUUCAGAAAGGUGUUUCCUUAUUUCGCAUAUUCAUAUUUGAUACUAUAUAACCAUAAAAAAAGCCAGAGCAUUUAUCUCAAUAGUUUAUGUUGAGUUUCAAUUGAAUUAAACACAGCGAAAAAAAUAAAAAAAUAAAAUUUUCACCAAAAUGAAUCACAUUUAAAUGAAGAAAGCAAUAAUAUUUAAAGAUAAAAUAAAUAUCUUUUAUUUUCUUUAACAAAAUAUGAGAUCAUUCAUUUUGGUUGGGUUAUCGCAAACCAUAAAUUGUCUAAUUGUUCAGUCUUUAACAAUAUUCAUACAGAAUAGUAAUCGAAAAAUUUUAGAAUAAUUUUAAGAGAUCGAGAAGGAGAGAAGUUUAGAGCUGGAUUUCUUACAAAUUCUAGAGGCUCUCAUGAGAGGUUUAUGCCAAACGUUACUUUACACUCUUAUAAGAUGCUCUUUUAUACUAAAAUCCUAGGAUUGCAGUAUAAUAGUAUUUAUUUAUUUAACUAAUUAAAUAAAUAAAGUGAGAUUUAUAAUUUAGUCCCUGUGUAUUGUUAUUAUUAACAAGUUAGUCCCUAUAUUUUUAGAAACCUAUUAAAACUUGCUUAUAUUUUCUUUCCGUCAACGAAAUAGUUAUUCUGUUCUUUUUUUCCGUUAAAAAUAUAUAAAGGAUGAGUGAGAAAAUUUUUAAAAUCCAAUUUUACCCCAAAAUAAAACCCCUUAUUUAGUCUUUGGAUAUUGCUAUUAUUAACAAGUCAGUCUCUAUAUUUUUAGAAAUCUAUUAAAAUGUCCUUAUCUUUUCUCAUAUCUAUUAAAAUGUCCUUAUCGUUUCUUUCCGUCAACGAAAUAGUCCCUCUUCCUCCUCCUUAAAAAAGAAGAUAAAGAAGAAAAAGAAGAUAAUGAUGAAGGAGAAGAAGAAGAAGAAGAAGAAGAAGAAGAUGAUGAUGAUGAUGAAGAAGAAAAAGAAAAAGAAGAAGAAGAAAAAUCUCCUCCUCCUCCUCCUCCUCUUCCUUACAGAAGAAGAAUAAAAAGAAAAAUCAAAGAAGAAUCAAAGAAGAAGAAGAAAAAGAACCAAAGAAGAAGAAGAGGAGGAGGAAGAAUCAAUGAAGAAGAAGAAGAAGAAGAAGGAGGAGUAGGAGGAAGAAGAAAAGGGGGGUAAAUUGGUCUUUUGCUAUAUUUUUAACAACAGAAAUAGACGGAAGGACUAUUUUGUUGACGGAGAGAAAAUAUAAGGACAUAUUAAUAGGUUUCUGAAAAUGCAGGGACUAACUUGUUAAUAAUGGUAAUACUUAGGGACUAAAUUGUAAAUCUUCCAUAAAUAAAUUAUAAUAAUAGGCCAGAAUAUUAGUAAGUAAGCCAUAUAAAUCUUAGAUGAUUUUAGUUAGAUCAAAAUCGUAAUUUUUUCAAAUUAUAAUUUUAUUUCAAUGUCAAUUUAUAUGCAAUAAAGCUCUAUUUGAUUUAACUUAUCGUUUUAUUUUCUCUUACAAUUCUUUAUGUAUGUGACCUAUUAGAUUCUAAAUAUAUUGAUAAUAAAUAUAAUUAACUAAUUAAUUAAUUUGAAAGUCAAGAAUAUGUUAAGACUAUCCAAAUAUUUAUAAUGCCAAAAGUAGUUUGACUUAACCUUUCAGUGCAUAGUUUGUUAGUGUAAUUAAUAUCAUUUAAUCACAAAUGUCCCAAUUUAAUAUUUAAUACAUAGAAUAUGUCUAUAAUAUUAAAUUAUAUUAGUUUAAUAUAAUACCCGGCUAGACUCCGGCAUCGAAAUUCCUACCUUCCGGCGGAAUCUCUGUUGGAAUCCGAGAUUCACGAAUGUCAGAGCCUUCUAGAAGGAUAAAAUAAAGGUUUUCUAAAAUGCUUUUAUAUGUUUUAUGGUUUUAAUCAAAUGAUACAAGUCUUGGAUAAGAAUCUACAACGCACUAGAACGCCAAAGAAAGAAAUUGAGUUUUGAAAGAAAAGACCAAGGAGGGAGAAAGCCAGGUUCGGCCGCUGAACUUGGUGCUCUUGCGGAAGCACCUUUGGCCCCCGAAGGUGGUCUGGCCAGCCACCUAUAAAAGGCCCCCUGUCCGAAAAUGAGCGAGUUUUUCUCUCCAUUUUCGGGUAAAGGUGAGUUCUUGACCAUCCAUGGUUGAUUUUACGUCUUCCUUCAAAUCUCUCAGAGUUUUUAUGAGUUUUUACUAUGUUUUGAAGAUUUUAAGCUAAAGAUCAAAGUUUUGAAGUUUGGGGACCCCCGGAGCUCGAUUUCUCCCAAUCUCCAAGUUUGGAUAACAUCUCCUCUCGAUCUUCAAGAGGUAAGUGUAGAUCCACGACUUUUAUGAUGUUUUAAGUAAGUUUUAAGAAGGGGUUAAGGGUUUUGAUGCAUGUUUAGAGUAGGUGAAAAAUGUUAGGGUUUAUGUUAGUUUAAUGGUAAAUGUUUGUUAAUGUAAUGUUUGUUGGGGUUUAGGCUAGUUUUAUGCCCCUAUAUACUUGAUGAUGUGUUUAUGCAUGCUUUUGAGUGUUGAGUAUGAGUUUGGAGGGUUUUGGGAGGUUAGAUGAGAAGAGACGAAUUGAGUUCUGCCAUUCUGGAGAACCCAGGUUCGGCCGCCGAAGCCAUGUUUGGCCUCCGAACCUGCCUGUAAAGGCAGCUUUAGGCCGUCUAAACUCGCUCCCGAAAGUUGGACUUUCGGCUCUAGAGGGGAGUUUUGGCCGCCGAACCUGCCUCGGAAGGUUAGUGACUUUCGAAUCUGGAGGGAGUUUCGGCCGUCGAACUUGCCGUCGAAAGUCCCCUGUCCAGCCUUCCUUUGCCUGUUUUGCAUGCAUGUUUUAUGAUGUUUUAGGGGGAUUUUUGGAGAAUUGUUUAGAGUCAUUGAUCAAGCAUAAUUUAGCCAUAUUUUUAUUAUAUUUAUCAUUGCUUAUUUACACAUUUUUUAGCUUAAUUUAUGGUUUUCACUUUGUUUUUACAGAAAAGAAAGAAAUUGGAAAACUAGAGAAAAAAAAGUGCAGAAAAUGACAGAAAAGUGAUUGGAUCAAUGAUUUGCGAAAUCACUGCCCAAAUCAAGCAGAAACAGAAAGCUGAAAACUGGACUGAUUCACAGGAAGCGAUCGGGGUAGCGAUCUGCCCAAAUCACCGCCCUGAUCACACUGACAGCAGGAAUUGACAGCAGAAGCGGGAAAAGAGCAGAAAAUCCAAAUUCAAAGAAAAGAAGUCCAAAUCCACUUCAAACACCACAAGAUCAGUCCCAAGAGCCACGCCCUUCACUUAGAGAGUUUCAUUCUCAAUCAAAUACAAAAUCCAAAGAGGAAUCAAAUACUACAAAGAAGACCAAAUCAAAUUGAGAUUUCAAAACCUAAUCAAAUUGGAAUUGAGAUUCUCCAGCUAUAUAAGGGCAGUAUCCAAACCAGCAAAGGGGCAUCUCUCAUCUUCAGCAAUUCUGCAGAAAACACAGCAGCUUGUUCUCUUCUUUCUUUUCUUCUUUUCUUUUGUGAUUUUGUCCACCAUGAGUGACUAAAUCCAUCCUUUCUAGUUGAAGUUGGAAAAUUCAGAUUUGUGAUGAAUUGGGAGAUUUAAAUCUCCAUUGUUAAACUUCUAUUUAUUUUCAAUAUUUAUGCAAUUUGAUCUUUCUAUAAUUGUUUCUUUGCUUUUAGAAUCAAUUUAGGCCUAUUGCUUUUAAUUGCUUGAGUAACAAUUGUUUGAAUAAUUUAGGUCCGUAAUUGCUUAGAUUAUUUAAACACACAUUUAAUCAAGUUGCAUAAUCUAAACUUGACCACGCGAUUGGCAAGGUUAGAAUUAGGUUUCUCUAAGUCUUAAUGCAGUUAACAGUUGUUCGAUGCUAAAAGCCCCAAGGACGUUCCUUGGCAAUUUGUUAACUAGUGUUUGAUUAGCGAACGUUUCCUAAUCAAACUAGAACUAAGGAGGAAUUUGGAUUGUGAGAAGCGUCUUCCACAUCCUAAACUAAUUUAUUGAAAUAAAUAGGAGUGUUAAAGAAUCAAUGAUCAAUUCUAAACAAACUGAAAUAGAUCCAUUCUUCAACUAGAAUUCUUCUCCUAUUGAAAUUCUCAUCUAUUUAAAUUAUUGCCUUCUCUUGCUAUUUAGUUUUAAUCAUCAAAACAAAACCCCCCUCUUUUAAUUUCUUGUUAUUUACUUGUCCAAGUCAUUAUUAGGAAAAUCUUUAGUGUCAAAUCCCUGUGGUUCGACCCUAUUGCCAUUAUCUACAAGUUAAUUGUUGAUUGUUUAAUAGGUUUAUUUUUUACGGCUUCGACAACCGCUGUAACGACCCGGAAAUCCGACCCGUUACCGGCGCUAGGAUCCAGGUCGGCUUAAGGCCGUCGGGACCCGUAGCAAGCCUACAUACCUCCUGUAAACCUGUGGAAUCCCAUACAUAACAACAUAUACAUGAUCUGUAAAAAAUUUUUCUUUUCUCUUAUCCAAGCAAAACCUGUGCAUGCACAAAAUCAUACAUAAACCCCACACUGGAGUCCUCAUCAAAAUACUCCAAUGGGGUAUCAUCAUCAUACAUAUCAGCUUGGAUAAUCAUGGUCAUUAACAUCAUUACUCAUUAAACACUCUGUACAUAAUGGGGAUUCACACACCUCUAGGUCAAGCACUACUAUAAUCCUCAAUACAUCAUCAAAUCAUUCAUUACAUUACAUGGUCAUAAAUACUCGUUACAUCAUGUUCAUGUCCACUACUAUCUAUUACAACAUACAUGACUUAACUUCACUCUAGCCGACUUCCCGAUCUAUCCUGUACCUGCAACUCUGGGGAUAAAGGGAGUGGGGUGAGCUACUAGAGCCCAGUGAGCAGAAUAAUAAAAUAUCAAUUUAAAUCAUGCUUUCAUGUAUGCGCCAUAACACAAACAUUUCACAACAAGGAUGAACUUGUCACCAUUUAGCCCCUAUCUUUCUUACUUAUACAUGCCGGGGGCGUAGAGCCGUAGCAGGCACACCCGGACUACCAUAAUCAAUCAUAGUGCCAGGGGCGUAGAGCCGUAGCAGGCACACCUGGACUCACAUAGGCUAUCAUGACAUAAAAGGGCUAAUGGAUCAUUCAACAUUCAUCCACAUCAACAACAAGGUAUGCAAUGCAACAUAUUCGUGAAUUCUAAUGCAAUCAACCUGAUAUAUCUCAUGGCAUUCAUGAUGCGUGAAUCAUGCUAAAACAUUUCAUUAAUUUGCUUUAAAACUUAAAGUUUAUUCCACUCACCUCUGGCUAGCUCUGAAGAGACUCUGAAGCAGCUGGCUCACUGCUGGGGGUCUCGGUUCCUCAGGUCCGAACCUACACAGGUGGACUCAAAUGAGGGACCAAACAUACCUGAAUAUGACUCUAAAAUACUCCCCAAAAACCCCCUAAAACAUCCUGAAAACAUCACAUGAAAACAUGCAAGAAAUGGCUGAACAGGGCACUUUCGGCGGCAGGUUCGGCGGCCGAAAGUCCCACUGCAGCCGAAAGUCAUGCAGGUUCGGCGGCACUUUCGGCGGCCGAACCUCCCAGACAGAGACGAAACUUGAGUUUCGGGGGCAGGCUUCGGCAGCCGAAACUGCCUUCACAAGGGGGUUCGGCGGCCGAAAGUCACUUCGGCGGCCGAACCUGAGUUUCUGCCGAAGGGCAGAAACUUGGCUUCCUUGUGUCCACAGCCUCCAAAACACCUCAAAACAUGCAUAAACUUGUUUCUACACAUGCAUACACAUCAUGCAUCACACCUAGGGGUCACAAACUAUACUAUACCCCAACUACAACACUUCAAACAACACAUUUCCAACAUACAUUGUUCAAAUCACAUCAUAAACCCAUAAACCUAACAACAAGCCUAAACAUGCAUUCUACCCCAUCAACUUGCAUAAAACUUUCAUAAAACAUAAAAGAAGCAUAGAUCGAAGCUUACCUCUUGAAGAUCGAGAGGAAGAACGACCCUAGCUCGGAAAAUGGAGGGAUUUAGCUCCAAGACUUCCAAGCUCCAAAACUUGUUUCAAAAGCUUAAAUCUUCAAAACCAAGGGAAAACAAGUGAAAAUCUUGAAAGAUUUAGAGGAAGAACAUCAAAAAUGGGUGAGGGGCGGCGGAAAGCUCACCUUGGCCGAAAAUGGGGAAAAACUCGCCCGUUUUCGGCUAAGGGACCCUUUUAUAGUGGCUGGCCAGACCACGUUCGAGGGCCGAAAGUGCCUCCGCAUGCAUGCAAGGUUCGGCGGUCGAACAUGAGGUUCGGCGGCCGAACUUGGACUUCCCUCACUCAUGCUUUCGGGGGCCUAACGUGCCUCCAAAACACAUGCAUGUUCGGCGGCCGAACUUGAUUUUCGGCGGCCGAACCUGGGUUUUUCCUCCAAAGACUUUUCAUGUAAAAAUUCAUUUAAUUUCUUACUUAAAACAUGAAAUACAUGAAAACAUUUCAUAAAAUCAUAGUUUUUACCCUUCUAGAGGUUUCCGACAUCCGAGGUCCCACCAGACGGUAGGGAUUCCGAUACCGGAGUCUAGCCGGGUAUUACAACCGCUAUCAGUCAUGUUAGAGUUUGUUUGGUCCCUCAUUUGAGUCCACCUGUGUAAGAUUGGACCCGAGGAACCGAGGAGGCCAGCAAUGUUAGCUGUUUCAGAGUCAGCUAUAGGUGAGUAGAAUAUAACUCUUUUAUUUCAAACCAAAUAAACUUUUAAGCAUGUUCAUGCAUCAUAAAUGCCAUGUAUGUAAUAGGUUGUAGUGCAUUAGAACUCAGGAAUAUAACGCAUUGCUGAUCAAACAUAAUUUAGCCACAUUUCUAUUAUCUUUAUUAUUGCUUAAAUACAUAUUUUUCAGCUUAAUUUAUGGUUUUUGUUAUAUUUUUGCAGGAAAGGAAGAAAAUGGAAAGUUGGAGAAAAAGUGCAGGAGAAGCUGGAAAAGUGAUUGGGUCAGAGUGAUUUGGCCAAAUCAAGCAAAGGAAGCUGAGGCAGAAACCUGGAAGUAAAUUCGCAGAAAUAAUUUGGGCAAGUGAUCUGCCCAAAUCACCCGCCCAAAUCACAUUGACGCAGAGAGACAGCAAAAGCGGAAAAAGUGCAGAAAACUGAAAUUCAAAAGUGGAGAAGUCCAAAUCCAUUUUAAAUACUGUAAGAUCAGUCCCAAGAGCCACGAGAAAGUCUUUCACUUAAAGAAUUCCAUUCACAAUUAAAUACAAAAAAUAAAAGAGGAAUCAAAGACUACAAAGAAGACCAAGUCAAGAUUGGGAUUUCCAAACCCUAAUUGGAUAAGGAUUCUCCAGCUAUAAAAAGGGAUAGCAUCUAAACUAGCAGGAUCAUCUCAGCAGUCUCGAAAAUUCUGCAGAAACUUAGCAAAAGCACAGCGGCCUCUUCUCCUAUUUUUUUUCUUUUCUUUUUGUGUAUUUUGUCCACCAUGAGUGGCUAAACACUUUUCAUUUCUAGUUGAAAUUGGAAAUUUCAUAUUUGUGAUGAAUUGGGAGAUUUAAUACUACAUUAUUAAACUCUUGUUUAUUUUCAAUAUUUAUGCAACUUGAUCUUUCUAUACUUAUUGCUUUACUUUUAAAAUCAAUUAAGGCUUGUUGCUUAUAAUUGCUUAAGUAAUAUAUUGUUUGAAUAAUUUAGGUCCGUAAUUGCUUAGGUUAUUUAAUCACAAGUAUAAUCAGUUGCAUAAUCUAAACUUGACCAUGCAGUUGACAAAGUUAGAGUUGGGUUUCUUUAAGUCCUAAUGCAGUUAACAGUUGUUCGAUGCUAAAAGCCCCAAGGACGUUCCUUGGCAACUUGUUAGCUAGAGUUCAAUUAGCGAACGUUUCCUAAUCAAACUAAAAUUAAGGAGGAAUUUGGAUUGUGAGAAGCGUCUUCCACGUCCUAAACUAACUUAUUGAAAUAAAUAAGACUAUCAAAAAGUUAAUGAUCAAUUCUAAACAAACUAAAAUUCAUCCAUGCUUCAACUAUAAUCCUUUUCCCAUUGAAAUUCUUAUCUUUUAAAUUAUUGCUUUAUCUUACUAUUUAGUUUUAAUUCAUUAUCAUCAAAUCAAACCCCCUCUCUUAUUUACUUUUGUUAUUUGUCCAAAUCAUUAAUAGAAAAAUUCGUAGUGUCAAAUCUCUGUGAUUCGACCCUAUUGCCACUGUCUACAAGUUAAUUAUUGAUUGAUUAAUAGGUUUAUUUUUUACGGCUUCGACAACCGCUAUCAAUUGCAUAAUAUGAUGUUGAUGUGGAUGGAUGUUGGAUGACCCAUUGGCCCUUGUAAUGAUAUGAUAUGAUAUAGUAUGGAAGUCCAGGUCGAGGCCCAUUCUACGCUCCUGGCACAGAGUAAAAGAAAUUUCAGAUCGAGGCCCAUUCUGUAACAGCCCGGAAACCGAACUGCUACCGGCACUAGGAUCCAGAUCAACUUAAGGUCGCCGGGACCCGUAGUAAGCCUGCUAUCCUGUCUGUGUACCUGUGAAAUCCCAUACAUGAUCAUACUUUUUCUGUCAAACUAUUAAAACUGUUCUGUCCUCCAGGGCUUAACCUGUGCAUGCACUGUUUCUGCUCUCUCUUAUCCGUCUCUAAGCGGAUAAACUCAUAAUGUUAAGCCUGGUUUUCUCAUAUACAUCAACAAGAAAAGAUACAUACAUAUAAAAACUGAUCAUGUAUACAUAACUGGGGAUCACUCUAAUGAAUCAAGCACAAGUCUAUACAUCUUAUUACAUAACUACAAUCUCUUUACAUAUACAUGUCCACACUAGCUAUUACAUAUCUCUUCUUCCAUACCUUGCUGAACUCCCUCUGGACUCUGAACCUGCAAACCUGGGGAAUAGGGGAGAGGGAUGAGCUAUACAAGCCCAAUGAGUAGAACUAUAAAACAUGAUCUCAUGGAAUGCACCACAUCACAGACAUUUCAUCUCAAGGAUAGACAUGACCACCAAAAUUCCCACUGGGAGGAUGCCUGGCCUAGCCAGGUCUUACAUCCUCAAUUUGCCUGGCCCUGCCAGGUCUUACAAACUCUGCUCGCCUGGCCCAGCCAGGUCUUACAAUAAUCUGCUGCCUGGCCUAGCCAGGUCUUACCUACAGAAGGCUGCCUGGCCCGGCCAGGUCUUACACAGAGCUAGGGCUAUUGGGGUCGCCUUGGUCCAUCCAUCUCAUCAUAUACAUCGUAUUAUACAAUGCAAUGCGCCAUAUUCGUGAAACUAGUGCAAGCAACCUACUAUAGUCAUCAUGAUGCAUGCCACAUGCUAAAAGCAUUUUAGGUCUGAAAAGAGAAGUUCCACUCACCUCUGGCUGACUCUGGACUACCUCUGCAGGUUCUGAACCUGUGCUCACUGCUGACUUCCCUGAUUCCUCUGGUCCGUUCCUACACAGUUGGACUCAAAUGAGGGACCAAACGAACUCAAGAACCGCUCUAAGAAACUCCCCAAAAGCCCGCUAAAAGAUCCUAAAACAAUCACAUAAAACAUGCAAAAGAAAGCUGGACAGGGCACUUUCGGCGGCAUGUUCGGCGGCCGAAACCCCUCUCCAGAGACGAAACUCAUGCAUGUUCGGCGGCACCUUCGGCAGCCGAAAGGCUCGUCCAGAGACGAACCUCAACCUUCGGCGGCCGAACCUUGCCUCCAGAGACGAAAGUCCAAAUGUUCGGGGGCAAGCUUUGGCAGCCGAAACUGCCUCCACAAGGGGUUCGGCGGCCGAACCUGGCUUUGUCCAGUGGACAGAACCCUGCUCUGUUUCAUGCAAAUCUCCCCCAAAAUUUACCCAACAUGCAUAGCAACUACUCCCAACUAACACAUACCAUAUAACAUGCAUAAAGAGGUCCAAAACUCUCCUAAAACCUCAACCAAACACAUCAAACAACACUUAACAUGCUUGUACAUAAACAUCUCCCAUAAACCUCACCUAAACCUAAUCAUGCAUACUACCCAUCCAACUCCCAUAAAACCUUCAAAACUCAUCAAAGAAGUUCAGGAUCAACCCUUACCUCCUAAAAAACUUGAGGAUGAGGGAUCCUAACGUGGAGAUAGGGAGAAAACCUCUUCCAAAGCUCCAAGCUUCAAAACUUACUCUUUUUGCUCCAAACCUUCAAAACACACCAAAACACUUAAAACCCUUGGAAGAUGUGGUGAAAAACAUGAAAAACAUGAAAGUCAACUUGGGAGAGGCUUGAACGCACCUCUGGCUGCAAGUGGAGGAGAAAUAUCCUCCUUCCACCGACCCUUGGCCCUUUUAUAGGUGGCUGGCCAGACCACCUUCGGCAGCCGAACGUGAAUCCAAAACCAUGCAAUGUUCGGCGGCCGAAAGUGACCUUCGGUGGCCGAACCUUUGCAUUUCUCCCUUGUUGCUUUUCUUUCAAAACUCAUUUCCUUUAACACUUUAAAACAUUCAAAACCCUUAAAAACACACAUGAAAACAUAUGUCUUACCCUUCUCGAGGGUUCCGACACUCGAGAUUCCACCGGUCUACAGAAAUUCCGAUGCCGGACUCAAGCCGGGUAUUACACAUUCUAUACCCCUGGCACGAUUGGAUAUGUAGAGGGUCAUUGGUGACAAGUGUAUCCUUUAUGUAAAUUGUUUGUGAUGUGAUGCAUUUCAUGAUGGCAUAUGUUUAAUGAACUGUUUUUACCGUUCUGCUCACUGGGUUUUAGUAGCUCACCCCUUUCCCCUCACCCCCAGGUUUGCAAGGUCAGAGAUAGCUCAGGGAGUCAGCAAGGGUAAUGGCUAUGGCUAUGUAAUGUAAUAGUCUAGUAGUGGACAUGAAAUAUAAAAUGAUAUAAGUAAUGUAGAGAAAUAUUUCAUGUAUGGUUAAUCCCUUUUGGUACAUGAUCUUUAUGAAAGGUUUUAAUGAUGAGAUAUGUUGAACCAAACUUGAUGUAUGUAAUGUAGAGAAAUGUUUCAUGGUUUAGUUUUGUGCUUGGCUCUAAUGUAUGGUUAAUCCCUUUUGGUACAUGAUCUUUAUGAAAGGUUUUAAUGAUGAGAUAUGUUGAACCAAACUUAAUGUAUGUUAUGUUGACGCAUUAAGGGCUCUAGUAAGGGGUUUUUAUGUUUACAGUUAUGGUGCAUGCACAGGUCAAACUUGAUAUAUGAAAAGUUUAAAGUUUUUAUGAAAAUGUAUGAUCAUGUAUGGAAUUUUAUCAGGUACACAGGGUGCAUAGUAGGCUUGCUACGGGUCCCGGCGACUUUAAGUUGAUCUGGAUCCUAGCACCGGUAGCGGUUCCAAACCUCAUUUGCUAAUUUCAUUCCACAUUGCAUAGGAAUUUUAUGAUCAAUACUAGUAGAGAACAAAUGAGACAUUUCCUAAUUUAACCUUGAGUGAUGUAUCAUAUUUCAAUCACAUAAAUAUACCUUCAUAUAGUUUUUAAUAUAUCGAAUUCAUCCUCAUUUGUUACUCAAUAAACCAAGCAACGUGUAAGAUAAAUCAAUACACAAAAGCCCCUGUAUAAGAUUAUUUAUUGAUUUUAAAUUGAAAGGUCAUUUACACAACUAUCACUUGCGUAAUCCAUAGACAUAGGUUGUUUUCCGUAUGAAUUUCUCAGACGAGUCAGUUCAGUGUACUUAUUUAUAAAAUAAAUACCUACAUAUUUCAGUUUAUGAGAUCAGUUGUUUUCUCUAAAAAAAACAUAAUAUAUACUAAUUUUAACAAUUUUAAUUAUUAUUCAAUCAUAAUAAAAAUAUCGAUUAGAAACAUUUAAAGAUAUUAUUUAAAUGUAUUUGAAAUUUAAUAAUUUUUUUUAAAUAUUUAGAAUCUAAUAAUUAUAAACGCGUUAUAAUUUACUUUGCAUUUGCAUGGUAAUAUAGUUUCAUAAACUUUAUUUUUACUCGAUAUUCAAUUAAAUUAACACUAAAAAUAAAUAAUUUCCUUAAUAAAAUUAUAUUUAAAUACUUAAAAUACAUAAAUAAUAAUAUUUAACUAUAAUUAAUAAAUUUAUUGUAGAGUAUAUUAUUAACAAUUUAUUAAUAACCAUUUGGCGUAGUGCUAAAGUCCACUUUGUUCUCAAACAGAUAAUUUAAGUUUAAUAAUAUGAGAAGGUAUCGAUGGAAAUGUAGUCUUUUUAUGAAUCUUAAAACAUCCCAUAUUCUGUUCAUUUUUUUAUCAGUAAAAUAAUUUUGUUAAUUAUAGUAGCGAGAACUCAUCAAUUUAAUUUUACCUUAGUGUAUAUAUAAUUAAACUUUGAAAGAUUUCAGAUUUAAAAAGAUUAUAGCAGUGAAAACUUUUUUAUAUUAUUUGUAAAUCAGUAAUAUCCAACAAAUUGGCUUUCAGCCACAAUCUCAAUUUAAGUUUUGCUUUCUCAUAUAUAUUUUCUUUUAUAUUAAUCGUUAAUUAUUAUCCUUGAAAUUUUGCAAUUCAUUUAUGUUUAAACUAUCUUAUUAUUGUUAAUGAUUAAUUUCUUUUUAUUCAAUUUACUUUUUUUUAUUGAAUUACUAAUAUUUUCAGUUGCAAUUUAAUUCGAGAGUAUUCUUAGAAUAUUCAAGCAUCUUUUUAGUUAAAAUUUCAAUUAUCCUACUGUUAAUGUGAUAUUAUUCCACAUGAAUGAUUCUCAUCUAUUAGAUCAGAAGCCUAAUUAGCUUGGAAGGACAGAUAGCGAAGAAAGUUUGGUGGGUAUAUGCACACAAUGCACGAAGGUAACUGCCAAUCAUGAAAUCUUCUACAGUGUUAUUUAUUUAUUUUUGGGAGNNNNNNNNUAUUAAGUGUCUGAAUUCUGACCAAAUUUUACAUGUUCUAUAAAUUGCCGUAUAGCAGAAGCAACGAUUAACUUUUCUCGGUGACUCGAAAACGGAAAAAAAAAAUAGUGAAUUUCGCCGUGCUCGGUGGAGCAUCAGUCUCCAGCUUUAUGUAGUCAUUGGUUUUAUCUCCCAUUCGAUAGGAGAAAUAAUCAUCAGAGACAAAAGGACGUGAUCGGAGAAAUGGGAAGGGCUCCCUGUUGCUCCAAGGUAGGGUUGCAUAGAGGACCAUGGACUCCUAGAGAAGACACAUUGCUCAUUAAAUAUAUUCAAUCUCGUGGAGAAGGCAACUGGAGGUCUUUGCCUAAGAAAGCUGGUAUGUUUUAUCUCAAUGGCCACCCCUAUUCUUCAUUCUCUUUAUAAUUUUAUUACAUAUAUAGUUGAUACUUGUGUAAUGAGUUUCUGUGUGAUGAAGGUUUGCUCAGAUGUGGAAAAAGCUGUAGGCUAAGAUGGAUGAAUUAUCUAAGACCAGACAUCAAGAGAGGGAACAUCACUCCUGAUGAGGAUGAUCUUAUAAUCAGAAUGCAUUCGCUGCUUGGAAAUCGAUGGUCUCUGAUCGCCGGAAGGCUUCCAGGUCGAACUGAUAAUGAGAUCAAGAAUUAUUGGAAUACCCAUCUAAGCAAGAGACUUAGAAGCCAAGGAACUGAUCCUAAUACUCAUAAGAAAUUGGCAGAGACAGUUCAACAACAAGGGAAGAAGAAGAAGAAAAAUAAUAAUAACACUUCCAGAAACAGUAAAAACAAGAAUAAUAAAGCCAAAGUAGAGCUUGAAAAGGCCAAGGUGAUCCAUCUCCCCAGGCCUGUUAGGUUUUCUUCUUUAUCUUUACUAAGAAAUGACAGUUUUGAGUGCAAUACUAGUUUGUCUUCAUGCCAAGGAGGAGAGGGUGAGGGUGAGGGUGGUUUAAGUGCAGAAGCUGUCACUGAGAAUCCUUGGUGUAGUUUCAAGUAUGAUCAUGAUGAUGGGAUUAGCUUUCUUGUUGGUGAUGUUGAUCAUGAUAUCGUCAACGGCCCAGAUCUUGGAUGCGUACCUGCAUCAAACGCAAAUCUAGAGAAGCUGUAUGAAGAGUAUCUGCAGCUCCUGAAGACGGAUGAUGAUCAUGGAAAAUUAGAUUACUCUUUUGCAGAAUCACUAUCGCUAUGAGAGUGUCAAGUAGGGCUUAUCAAACUUUAAGAAGAGUCAAUGUACACUCCUAUUAAUAGGACUGUUUAAAUUCAUAUCCUGCAGCUCUCAGUAGCUUUAUCCUUGUAAUUUCCCUAAGCAGAUAGAAUAAAAAAAAUAUAUUACAAUCUUAAUUACUUCAAUAAUAAUUAAAAGCUGUUAUAAAGAUAACCCAAAAAAUAAAAAUGCAAAAUUUGACAUAAUUCAAUAAAAGCCUAUUUCAUAAAUAAACUCAUUGUAGCAAAAUAAUCACAAUCCAAUUAUCAUUUUUCUACACUUAAUCACUAGCAAAUACAGCAUCCAACAAAUAUUCACGAAGCUCUAGCCACGCUCUUCCACUGUCAAACCUCUCACGUACACGCCUCACCUCAAGCCAACUUUACAUUCUUCUUCUUCUUCUUCUUCUUCUUCUCCUUCUUCUACUUCUUCUGUCAGUGGACUUACUGCUCCCUUUUAACUCCUAAUUAAUUUUAAACUCUAAUUAUUUAUUAAUCCUAUUUAGACUUGAACUCAACAUAAAUAACUUAAUCAUAAGCUUGGAAUCCCUUAUAUUUUUAGAGAUUUGACUUUAAUUACUUUAUAAUCAGAGGCCUUCAUUGUAAUAAAGAAUAAAUAAAAGAAAAAAAAAAACUCACUAAAAAUACUUUAAUCAGAGUAAAAAUAUGAUAAUAUUUGUAAUUAUACAGAAUAAAAAAAAAGGAAAAUAUGUGCAUGAAUGAUGCAUGUGUUAAAAUAGUUUUGGUGUUUCGUACGUGGAAGGUGGGUUGGAAUCAUAGAUUAGCGUGUGCUUACCUGCCAGCCAACGUGGAACGAAUUCGAAGGUUUUGAAAAUUUAUAGAAUCAGACAAUGGAAGUGAAUGUGACGUGAAUUCAAUUUUAAUGUGAUUUUAGUAGCGAUAUUUUUUCAUUAAAAUUUUAUCAUAAAAAACUUAAUUUGUUGUAUUAAAGUUUCGUCACAAAAAUAUUCAAUAUGUUGUUUGAAUAAGCUAAAAUCAUAAUCAUGGCGAAUUCACUUGAAUGCCAAAUUAUAAAGUUAAAUAUAAAAACAAGUAAUAAUUUAUGGAUUUUAAUAUACUAGUUCCAUUUUUAUUUCACACAAUUUAUGACCAGAAUAGUUUUGUUGGUGAUAUUUCAUUGGGAGCAAAAAUCUUAUUUUAGAAUAUUUUAUAUUUAUACACUCAAAUAAUAUAUAUAUAAUAUAAUAAAAUUGGAUUCUCAAUUGCUACCGUAUGUUAACGGUAGCAAUUGAAAACGGUAUUUUAACUUAUUUAUUUUCUAUUUGCAUCCCCUUUCACGUGUUUUUAAUUUUGAUUUUAAUUAACUUACGUUUUUAAGAUUAUCCUUUCAUUCGCCUUUUUACGGUGUUCUUUUGCUCGAUUCAGUCGUCUUUUCCUUUCAUCGAAACGGUAAUGUUUCAUUGAGAAACUAUUUCAGAGCCGUUUGUUUCUUUUCUCGGCAGUACAUGGCCAUUCUCUCGCCUUUCUGCCAUCUCUCUAUGGAUGGUCGCGUCCUUGCGCGCGUCUAUCCAUCAUUAUCUGCCCCUGCAAUGUCUCAUCUUUGCAGCUUUUUGAAACCUCCUGUUUCUCACUUCUCCCCGUCCAAGUGUUUCAGCGUUUUUGCGGGCGUCUACACAGCAUUCUCCUCUGUAAUAUCUUACCGUUGGACUCUCAAAAACCCAUUUAAUGCUCGCUACCCCAUAUUCAGUCCGUACCCUAUUUCUCUCUUCUCUUCAUUCAUCUAUUUUAGCAUUUUCACGCGCAUUUGCUUGUCGGUGUUCUCUUCAGUGGUGUCUAACCGUUGCGCCUUUGAAAGCCUCUUUCUUACUCGCCAACAUAACUUUCAGUUCAUAAUCUGUUUCUCUUUUCUCUCCGUCUAUGUACUGGCCUGCGUUUGUGAGGGUGUGGCUGUUCAUGAGUCUUUGUAUUUUGCCAUUUAUUAUUUUAAUGGCUACAUAUUUCAUCCUUUUUUAUUCUUUCUUGCUUUGCUCACUUGGGACGAAACCGGUGAAAUAUAAAAUAUAAAAAUGAUUAUUUAUUCAUUCUUUUAAAUGGAGAGAAUUUAUUAAUUUAUUUAUAAAAAAUAAUUUAGUACUAGGAAAAAAAAAAUAUUUUGUUGAAGUCUUUAUCAUUUAUGAUUGCGAUCGAAUAAAAUUUAAGUGAAAGAGUUGAAUUAUUUUGAUGAGAUCACGUUUUAAAUUUCUAAUAUUACUAAAAGGUUUCAGUGUCUAAAAUAAUAUUGAGGUUAAUGGUUAGAUGAACUCGUGACCAACUUCUGUUCUGCCGCUGUUAGAUCUACUGGUAUCCCUGCGGCUGCUAAGGCAAUUAUGGGUGAAAUGUUAUUGGAAAAAUUAAUUUGAAUUUUAAUUUAUUUUAACUAUAAAAAUUGUUAGAAUUAAUAUUAGUUCGUUGAUUCACGAUCUCAUUAUUUAUUUGAUUACUGUGCAACUGUUAAUAUUUUAUUUCACGUGACAAUCUAGGAAACUAAAAAUCUUUCUUUCAAACUCUUGAAAUAUAAUAAUAGCCGUCAUUCUUGAUUUUCUCAUGUUUUACUUGUAUAUGAGACAAAGUUAUUGCUAUUAAUGAUUGAUUGAAUGAAGAGAAAUUUUCCUCAAUACAGACUUCGUGUUCGGUACAUCUUAUAUUAGUUUCCACUAAGAAAAAUAUUUUUAAAAUUGAAAUUAUAGGACUUGAACCGAUUAUCCAUAAUUCCAAAGGGUGCCUAACUUGGCCCAAACCAACAGUUUGGGCUAGUUGGCCCUGAUAUUCCAUCAGAAAACAACUAUAAACAGAACAACCCAAAAACUCUCUGAUAUUACAGGAAGCUGACCCAGAUGCGCUGCCAAGAAGAACGGAAGUGAGCAGUAUGGGAACAACAACUCCAUGGAAGCAGCUUCUGCUACGUGCAUUAGAGUCCAAUUCCCACCUCAAGCACUCUUCCUUCUUUCAAUUUGUGCGUCUUAAGCAUUUUAUAUCGCAUAGAUGUUUGUACAAUAAUACGCUCCAUUUGUUGCGAUCAGUUAAUUCUGUGGUGCUGGUGGUUGUUUUUUUGGGGCACAGGCAACAGUUGGAUCUGAUGGGAGACCUUCCAAUCGCACUGUAGUUUUCAGGUACUCUGUCUUCGAGCGUGAGUGUGUUUCUGUGUGAAAUUUGUUGGUUGAUGAGAGGUUUAUUGAUGGUUUUACAGAGGAUUUGCAGAGAACAGCGAUAAGAUCCAAAUCAACACAGAUUCUAGAACUCGUAAGGUUGUUUUCUUCAUUUCUUUUUCCUUAUCUUUUUUUUCCAAAUUUAAUUAAUUAAGUUUGUGCAUUUUUGUAUUAAGUAAAUACUAAACAAAAUAGUAUCAUGAAAUUAGGGACCACUAGUGUUUUUAUCUGUAUAAUUUGUGGAAUUAGACGAGUUAGGUCCUACGUCGGAGUAGGCAUACUUGUACCUGCAAGAUAUGAAUCACAAGUGCUAUAUUAACUAAGUGUUGAAAGAUUAAUUGUGAGGAACGCUUGGAAUGUGAGGAAGGCUGAGAAUGUGGAGUACACCGACAGUUAGAGAAGUCAAGGUCAAAUAACUGUUCUGACAGUUGUUAGUUACUGAUGUCAGCCGAGUUACUUGUCAAGUUUUUUAGAGAAACCCGUUGAUUGAACUGGAAAAUAAAGCGAGUUGUAAGUGUAAGUCAAUUGCGAAUUUUAAUCAAGGAUUAUCCAGAAAGUUCUGUCAAUCUUUUCCCUUCUUCUUUCGUUAUUGAUUGCUUUUGUUUUAAUUCUUUCCAUCCCUUUUUCUCUCCUACUUUCUACAAAACAAACACUCAACUGUCAAUCAGACCUUUAAUUCCUCAACUCCAGCCACUACAGGACAUAAAACUUGCAAUCAGCUUCAAAUAGUCCUGACAAAAUAAUUGCAAGGAAAGACUUCCAACUCAAACUAUCAAGCAUUUGAACAUUGCAUUCAAGUUACUGUGCCAACCAAAUUCCAUAAUAUGGAAUGAAAUGCUAUGACACCCAACUGAUGAUGACUCAGUUCACGAAACCCACAAUUUGGUCAACUAGGUUGUUUUUUUUUUAAUAUUAUUAUUAUAGCCGUAAUAGUGGAGCAAUGUGAAAACCUGAAUACAAGAAAGUAGAAGGUUUAGAGUUGCCUCAUGUUUGUUAAUUAUGUGUCAAUUUAAUACAUAGUAUGGGUAUAACUUGCAAUGACCCUCUAACUUAAAUACCUAUUAUUAUAAGAUCAUAAUAUGCUGCUUUUGAUUUUGGCUUGAUUAUGCAGAUUGAAGAACUUAAGCAAUGUCCAUUUGCUGAGGUAAUAAACCUACAUUUUAUCUCUUUUGUCAAUUCACUGCUCUAGCGUGGCUUUCACUUUUUGCUUUAGGUUAUUUCAGAAUUUGAUCAUUCAUGUCUUUUAGAUUCGAUGAGUUACAGAGUUUGGUACUUCAAACUUAUAUUUAAUUUUUCUAGAUAUGUUGGUAUUUUACUGACUCUUGGGAGCAAUUCCGGAUCAAUGGAAAAGUAGACAUUAUUGAUGGGUUGAAUCCUGAUCCUGCAAAGCAUGAGGUACCUAUAACUACUUUGAGCACAAUGUCUCUUCCAUGUUUAUUCGAACUUUUUAUCUAGAAGAUUUGAAUAUCGUGAGGUGUCUCACUUCUGAACACCAAUAUUUUGUUGGAAAGAUGAUGUUAAACAGAUUUUUUUUAAUGCAUUGAAUUUUCAGUUCAUUUUAAUGCGUUCUACAAACUUAUAAGACUGUAUUUAAAGGCUACAAAAGCCGAAUGUCAGUAACAGUGCUCUUCAAUAUUGUUGUUAUUGGAUUGCAUGAUCCUUUAAAUUCUCCUUUUCUUGAAUAUUAACUAAUAGUAAUAACAUACAAAAUUUACUAUAUAUGUGUUUAUAUAUACUAUAACAUGUAAUGAUAAUUUACAAAAUGGCAAACAAUGAAUGGGUAUAUCCAUCCCUGGUGCACAAUUUUCUUCCCUGCUACAGUGUCUAAUCGUUAAAGAUGGGAAUGCCAAAACUUGCGCUGCCUUACUGCAUCCCAUUGUCAUUUCCAAUUUUAAACUAUCAGAUAUUUAUGACUAGUGAAAAGAUUGCUUGUAAUGGACUUUGAUUUGAGGUUGAGCAUAUGAAAGGGUAGAUGGAGAAAAAUAUGGUGAAAUGAGCCUUCUGGUAAAACAUAAACUGCUGUUAUUUUGACACUCUUCUUAAGAUUAAUCUUCAUUAGAAUAUGCACUGGGCCUUUAAUGUGCUUCUUCAUCACAUUAACUGAUGAAGAGAUUGUUGAGAACUACACAACAUCUAAAUGAUGCUUCUAGAUAGAUCUAAUUUGAUAUGCAGUGCUGUAUGCGUCAUUGCUUGUAUUCUAGAACUUUCUCUUUUGAUAAUGCCAAAUGGUGCCUUAUAAAGUUGAUUAUAGAUUUUACAUCAUUCCAUCUUUCACUCAUGCUUUCACCAUUUUGCAUCCUUGAGUUAUUCUAGGUCUUCCUCAUUCUUUAUAUCAAUCGUUAAUGAUGCAGAUAAGAGAAAAAUCAUGGUACGCCAGUUCUUUAAAGUCAAGGAUGCAAUACCUGGGUCCUAAUCCUGGACUUCCUUGUCUAAAUGAGCAACCUUCCCAUGAUUUCUUUCUGGAUCCUUCUUCAGGCCCAGUUGCCACAUUUUGUCUGCUACUUUUAGAUCCAGAGCAGGUGUGAAGCUUCUCAGGUCUCGAAUUUAUUGCCUGAAACUUUUGCCAAACCUUAUAAACCUCAUCGAUUUGCAGGUUGAUUACCUGAAUCUGAAGAGUAACCAGAGGAUAAUGUUUACCUUAAUGAGAAAUGUCAACGGAGAACAUUACUGGAAUUCAGAGAGGACCAAUCCAUAAAGUCUGCAAACAGAGAUGAAUCAUUACUUCAAAAUCAUUAGUACUUGUUAUUCUCAAAUGAUAAUAAAGAAAUUACCGACGCUCCAUCUGAAUAAAUUGUAUGAAUUCAUUCUUUUACCUUCUAGAAUAGGACAGAGAUGUAUCAAUCGUUAAUAUCUGCAAUUAUGACUUCAUAUUGAUCAGGCACUACUUGGAUUCAUCAUUGUUAUUAGAACAUGAUCUUUUUAUGUAUGCAACAGUUCUACUUACCACUUUGUAUGUGAAGUCUCAGAUACCAAAGCAAUAUGGAUGUUUGCGACCCUCUCAUGCAAAGCAUCUUGCCUAAAUGAGUAUCCAUUCCAACUGUUAGAGAGACUGACUACUGAAAGAAAUGAAGGUAAACUAUUGAAACGACGUUUAAGUGGAAAAUUAUGUCUUCCUCUAAGAAGAUUGUGGAAUACUCAUUUGAGCAAGAGGCCUUCCUAUGGAAGGGAUAUGUCACGAUUUCCCUUAUCAGGAUGAAAGUCGCAACUAUUAUAUUUUCUCUUUAGUUGCAUCUCACCUACCGGAAAUUUAUCUUGAUAUGGGUGGUGGUUGUACCAGCCUCACAAAGGAUUACUGAUUUCUGUUUAGUUACAUCUUUGGGCUGUUAGCUAAAAAUGUUUUCUCAUGAGGAGACAUUAUUUCAAAAUUUCGUUUGCACUCCCCAAUGCUUGUCAAUUGGAAGUGCUCAUAAAAUUGGUUGAAAGGCUCUUCAUUGGUAUACCAAAUGCUGUUUAUGGUAUUUCACUUGGUUUAAUGUGCUACAUUAGAGUACUGCUUGUUCUAUCUGGGGUAGGUUUCUUAUGAUUAAAUUUGCGUGUUUUAAUAUAAUUCCUCACAUCAAUGUGAAUAUAUUCUUUGGUACGAUCCUUUCCCUACUUUUAUUGAGCUAAAAGCUCUAACAACCUUAUCUUUUUCUUUCAAAGGCAUUAAAAAGUUGCAACUUUGCAAGAUUAUGCUCUCUGCGUCUGUGGAUCAGACAAUGCAAAGUUCGAUGCAAUGGAUACAGCCAAUUGGAAAUCUGAAAAUUGAUUUAAGGUACAGGUGAGUCCCUAUUCCCCAUAACAUCUCAACUCUCAAUUUGUUCCUUCUGUUGGUGUUUUUAAAUAUUUAUGGACACAAUUUAUCCAAAUACAGUGGGGUGCUAUCCGCCUUUCAACGAAUCUCAUUUGCUUGUAUAGUUUGGGAUUGGAACCAUGUUAGUUCUUGACUUUCUGAUCUGCUGAAAGAUGGGUGGUUGCAUUGUUCUGAGAUUUUGUUUUUGUUUGUGUUUAUAUUAAUUUAUUGGAUAAGUCUAAUAUAAGCUCAAUAUGGGAAUUUAGGUCCCUUAAUUUGUUAAAAUUAACUGUUUAUUAUUUUUUUAAAAUCCAAUUAAAUCUCCUAUAUAUUUUAUAAAAUUAAAUUGUUUAGUUCUUAUUUGUGAAAAUAAUUAGUUAAUUGGUUUUAACCUAGAAUGUUUAUAUUAUUUAGUCGUAAUGUUACUAUUUAUAUUUUUUAGACAUAUAAUUUUAACUAUCUAUAUCUUUAGUCCAUUAUACCAUAACUAAAAUUUAGUUUACUAAUUUUUUUCAUGGAAAUUUAAUAAAAGGACAAAAGUUUAAGUUUAACAAAUAUGGGAUAUUUUAAUUGUGUUUAGAAAAAGGACAACAUAGUUAAUUUAUAAAAAAAUUAUAUAUAUAUAUAUAAAUAGGGACUUAAUAGUCUUUUAAUUUUAAUUUUUCAUAAAUUAAUAUAAGUGGAUGGUAUAUUAAGAAUUUUUUCAAAAAAAAAAUACUUUUUAUAAGCAGAGGUUAAUUUUUACCUAUAUUAAUUAUAAUUUCUUAUUUCAUGUAAAAUUAUUUUUAUGGCAAUUGUGGCAGUUUUCUUCAUGAUUAUGUUGAAGAAACAUUUAAUCUAAAGAGUUUUGUAAAUAAAUGGACGGAUUUUCAAUUUUUGAGUUAAAAAAUGAAAUGAUGAUUUGCAUGAAUUUAUAAUUGGUUUAAUCAUAUAACGGCUCUAAUGUGGCAUAAGAAUGUAGUGGCAUAAAUGUAUAUAUAUAUAUAUUUUAAUACUGGGUAAUAUAAAUUUAUACCAUCUUUGAACAAAGGCAACAGAUUGAUUGGGGUAGCAUUUAGUGAAACUUACCCAUUUUAAAAUGUGCUAUUUAAAUAUAGUUAUAUGAGAUCUUUUAAAGUAUUUAGAUAUUUUUGUAAAAUAAUUAGGGUUAGUAAUAAACAAUUUUCAUUAGUGUAAAGUAUUUUUUUUUCCUAAAAAGAAUUUGAAGAGCUCUUUAACAUGAAAACAAAUUCUUGUAAUUCUUUCCUAAAUCCGGUUUAUGGUUGAUUCAAAAUACAAAUAAAUAUGUUAUAUUUAAUUUUUAUAUGGUGUUUUGGGUCUAGGCAAAAUUUUCCCUUUCCCCAAAUAGAAGUUGAGAUUUCCCUUUGGGCUAAUGCCCAACGACCUAUUGCUUAAAUUUUGCUAAUCCUACAAUUUUUUUUCCCCGUCUUUUUUUUAAUACGUAUAUUUUUUUUAUUGGGGCUAAGGCAUGCAUAUGUUUGUUUAUGAAUUAUGAUAUGAUAUGGUAGCCCGUCCAACCCAAACUUGAGAUCAGCAUUUAGUAGAUAGUUUGUCCAUCGACACCAGAUAAAAAUUUAUCAAAAAAAGGGCUAAAAAAAGGAAACAUGAUACUACUUAUGCAGUGAGAAAAUGCAAACAAAAAAGUGAGGGGAAAUGUGCAGUUGUAUUAAAUUGAAAAAUUUCUUCUUUACGCCACAAUUUGCAGAGAGAAAUUAACCACGCCUAUUACAGACUUGCGCCUAAAGAAUCCUUGUCUGAGAAUUUCACAACAUUUAUCCGAAAUCCGAGUAUUCCAGGGUCCCUAGCAUCGAGGGAGAUCUGCCGGAGGAUGUGGCAGCGUCUGCAAGUGUCCUUUCCCAUUCUUCACUAUCAGCACCGUAGCUAAUCCCCAUGAUUGGUGUACAUCAAAAUGACAGUGCAUAAACCAAACCCCUAUAGCAAAACAGAUCUACACCAUUAAUUACUAUCAAUUACAAGCUUAAAUUAACUACUCAAUUACCCUUUUAAUCAAGCGAUUUGACUUACCCGGAUUAUCUGCUACAAAUCGAAUUGCUGCCCAUCCCCCAACUGGAACUCCAAUGGUGUUCAUAUAUGGAGGAUCCACUAGAUUGAGUUUUGCUGUUUUUGGGUCAUAGUUGCCGGUGCCGUAUCCCACCACAUAGAAGCUGUAGCCAUGGAGAUGAAUUGGGUGAUUUUCAGUUGUGACUGUUCCAGUGUCCUGCAUAAUGAUUUGCACCCUGCUUCCAUACUCAAGGACCUUAGUCCUUGUCCCAUUCACUGAGUUUGUGUCAUUUGGGGCAUUGUUAGGUGCCCCAUUCACAAAAUCAUAGAAUCUAAGAGGUGCUCCAGGGAAAUCAUCAGUGAAAAAUCCCUCAAUCCCCUUGUAAUAGGCUUCCAAAAUUGAAACUGUAGGCAUAAUGAAACUUAUAUUGUUCAUGGAAGCUGCCAUUGUACCAUUAUUAAGGCCGUGGCAACUUUGCUUUGGCGUUUUGGACCUGCACUUGUUGACAUUUAUUCCAAUAGUGACAAAGAGGUUUGCAUCAAUCUCUUUUGGUACGUUUGAAGCAUUUAAGCUUCGUAGGCCAUCCAUGACUGUCUUAACAGCUAAAUUAUCAUUAAAAUUGGGUAAUUUAGCUGGUAAUGAAAUGCUGUUAGGGACAACACCUGCGUAUUGAAAGUAAGCAAUUGCUGAAUUGUUCUGAAAUGAGACACCAUGAGCUGACAUGUAAGGUCCCACGGCCAUGGAAUACUUUCCAAUGGGCUGAUCGGCGGUGACGAGGACCAUCAUUGUUUGUCCCGGUCCGAGCAUUACACGGUCGGUGGUGAAUGGUUUUGUGUACUCAGCAUCGGCUUCUACGAUUGUUAAUUUGUGAUUAGCAAUUGCAAAGAAGUUUUCCAUGUUCACUCCUGCGUUUAUCAACCUUAACAGAUAGGUUUUUCCUGGGACGACGUUGAGCCUAUAUACGUCUGAAAAAUAAUAUUUAUUAAUUAAUUACUGCAUAAGAAAUUGUACGUAUAAAAGCUAUUAUAAUAAUCAAAAUAGGAGCUGAACAAGUCAUGCAGAAAUAUGAUGAGUUUAUUUUUUAGGAUUAGUGACUGCUUAGCAGAUUUUUUUUUACUAACUUUAUUCAACACUUGAGUUUUUGUUUUAUAAUAUAAAAACUGAGCGUUUAAAUUUUUCUUUUUAGAAAUGUUUUAGGGAAAAAAAAUCCUUAGUUGAUGAUUUUCAUUAGCAUAUAUAUAAAGGAAAAAAAAAGGUAUAUGUGUAGAAAUAUAUAGAAAAAAAUAGAUAAUAUUACCAUUAGCAGAGCAAUUGUAGUUAGGGCCAGGGUGACCAUUGAUGGUAUAGGCAUUCGACGGUGGAGAAGGUGCUCCGCUUGCUAGCACUUGCUGCUCUAGCUGUACAACAUCCUGGAGCCAAUACUCCCCUGAUUAAACACAUUCCAAACAAGAGGUCAAUGCAAUCUUUAACUAAUAAACAAUGGAAUGGUUAACAGUAAUAAAUCUCAUACCUAGAAUUACUAUAUGCUCUUCAUAAGGGUGUUUAAAUGGGUAUGGGACACCAGCUUUUGGGUACACAACAAUGGCACCAUAAACUGUACCCCUGAGCCAAGAAACAUGAGCAUGCCAAAAGAAGGUUCCCUUUUGUCUAACCAAAGUGAACUCGUACGUGAAGCUCUGCCCAGGCUGAAUCGGACACUGAGUGAUGUAUGAAGGUCCAUCAAACCAGCACGAGAGUAUCUGCCUGACACCGUGCCUUCAAAAAGUAAUAAUACCCAUCAUUACAGGAUUCUCGGAUUUAGAAUCCAAAUUAUUAAGUGAAAUCCAAUGAAGUUGAUUAAUUACCAGUGGAUGGUGACAUUGUGAGGAGACUCGUUGGUAACUUUGACGAUUAUUCGAUCCCCUUGUUGAGCGUAAACGACAGGGCCAGGAUACUUAUUAUUGACGGCCACAAUUUCUUUACUGUUGCACAAUUUUUUGACGGUCAUUGUAUGAACCUGAUAGCCAUUAAUUCACAAACAGAAGCAAAUGAGCAGGAAAUACAUAUACCCAGAGCGAAAACGUAUAAUAGUAAAAACAAAAAACAGAUAGGUGAAUAUAUAUAUGAGACCUUGAAAUCAUAGAACCUGGUUGAUCCCCCUCCAGGCCAGUCGGCCGCCGAAAGAACAGUGUAGCCGCCGGACAUGAUUAAGCUUAAGCAUACGAUCAUAAAAGAAUAGGACGAGUUGGCCAUGCUGAGAGAUGAGAUAGUGAGAGUUGGUGAAGACGUGUUGGUGGGAAGAAGCUUUUAAUAGAUAGUUAAAGGUAAUAGAGAUUAGAGAGAGAAUAGUGAAGUAAAGAAACUACAUUAAUAAAUAUAAUGAAGAAAUCCAAAGAGGGAAAGAGAGUUAAAUAGUUUUGUAAUGUGUUUGUCAGCUUUCAUGAUUUCUCUAACAUGGAUUCGUGAUAAUAAGGUGUUGGGAACGUUAUUAUUCAAUGUGACCCAAAUGUGGGGAAGAGUUUAGCCUUCUCUUUCUCUCUUUGAUUUUUCAGUGAAAUCAUGCUAUUUGACUAGGUGAAUAUGGAUUCCAUCUCUAAACCCCACAAGCCAACGGCUAUUUACCCAUGUCUACUCUUUACAUUAUAUAAAAAUUUUGCCUUUUUUGGUGAUUUUAUGUGGACCAAAAUUGAGGUGAAUUUGGUUAAAAACUUAACAAGGAUUAUUGGGUAUUGGAAUGUAAUAUUUGUAGAAAGAUAGCAAGAAAAGGAGAAGGUAGGGUUAAUUGGUUGUGCUUUUAAAAGACAAGUGUGUUGGUCAAUCAUAAGCAGUGCUGGUGCACGCCUUCCAUUCCUUCCGGCCCCAUUGGAGCUCAACCCAGAAGAACUAAUCUGCUCUACCUUCCAUUCCAAUGUAUACACCAUAUAUCAUUCAUUAUCUACAUUCAAGAAUUGAAUUAAUGAGUUUAUUUAUUUAUUUAUAUUUUGAUAAUUCGUAAUUCUAAAAUCAUUAACAAAUCAUGUAUGCAAUUGGGGUCUAUUGCAUCUUCCUAUGUGUAUAUAUACAUAUUCCUUCUUACACCAUCACAUGCAAAGACCCACAUGGUGAAGUUGAUAUUCCGUUAUACUCUUGCUUUAUUAAAACCUUUCAACCUAAAAAAUUCAAACAGUCAAUUUAAUUAACUUUUAUGAUUAGAGUGGAGAUGGUCAUGUUAAAACUUGCCUUAUCUGGUUCUCAUUCUAGCUAUAUUUAAUUAUAAUAUUUUUUUAUUUUGAAUUCAAAAUAUAAUAUUCAGGUAAUAUCCUUGGCCUUUGGGCCUUAUAUUCAGACAUUCUUAAUGAAAUCUCUAUGUUUUUCAUAAAAAAAGAAUGGUUAAGUUUGGUAAAAAAUUAGCUAGUAAUGAGGUUUAAGAGUUGGGUUGGAAUAAUAAAGUGGGGGAGCCUUUGGAUUGAUUAAUUGGAUGAGAUAAGCAUUGAAAUGCAAAAUUUGAGAAAUUAGGGUUUAAAAUAUUGGCGAAUAAUGGAAGUUUCCUAAUGAAGAAAAAGUGUGUUAUUCAUACUCUGACCAAAUUUGACGUAGCAGAUGAUUGUGUCCACAGGCAUGCAUCACUAUGAUAUCCAUCAUUCCUUACUUCAAUUUUAAGUUUUCAGGCCUAGCUGAGUGUGAUGGUGGUGGCUACCUCUGCCCUACAGCUCAUUGUGAUUCGGUUUUAGGUUUCAAUUUCUGGGUUUUUGUUAGAUGAUCAGUAGUCUCUGUUUAUUUUAUGGAAAAUGUAAAAAAUAUUUUUUAAUAUUUAAAUAUUUUGAAAAAUAGAUAAUAUUUUCUUAAUUAAAAAAAUUUAAAUAAUCUUCCACACUGAAAUAUUUUUAUUAAUAUUUCUAUAUAAAAAUUUAUUAAUAAAUUUUAUUUUUUAAAUUGAAAUUAAAUAAUAAAAAAUAAAUUAUUUUAUUAAAAAAUAUUUUCUACAAAAAUUAUUUUUUAAAUAUAAAUUAUUCUUUGCAAAUACAUGAAAGUUUUUAUAUUUAAAAUUUUAUUAAAAACAGGAUCGUGCAAGAAAUACUAUUUAUUACUAUAAUUGUUAGUUAUAGCAAAUUGAGGAGUAACAUAUAUAUGUAUUUUUAAUUAAACUUUACAAACAAUAUAAAAAAAAAGCCAAAUAAUUUAAUUUAAUUGGAUUUAGGAGCAUGCAUGUUUCCUUUCUUCCAUUAUCUACUAAGUUCAAAGAAGGAAUAAUAAUAAUAAUAAAAAUCACUGAAAAAUGAAUAAUUAUUAUGAAAUAUGUAAAAUGGGCUGGGGAAUAUUCUCAAAAUGAUUACACCAUUUCAGGAAAAAUUAUUGUAAUCUGAAUCACAAAACUCACUAAUUGACGAACUAAACUUAAUCUUAUGGACCUAUCAAAGCUGAAUCAUCUACUCAUAGUUUUUAAUUUAAAAAAUUCAUUUUAAAUAAAAUAUAUAAUUGAAUAAUAAUUCAAUUGAAUUAAUUCCUUACAGAAAAAUAAUACUUUUAUAAGAUAUCAAUUUGCUUUCACUUAAAAAAUUAACUUGUCCAAAACAAAUCCAAUAAUCUCAACUUAACACUUAUCUACAUGGAAAACAAUAUGUAAAUGAGCGUGAGACUCCCAGUGAAGGACAUGAUCAUAAGGCAAGAAGGCGUAUAUGUGAAGGGGAGCAGACUGAAGUGAAGACCUGGAUGAUGCAUUAGCACAAAAUGUGCUCCAUGUGGUGGAGAAAGAAACGUUAAUUAAUUAGGACAAGUGUAUAGAAAGAGACAAACAACCAAAAAUUCCUCCAUGGAUUUGCCAGCUACGCAAAGGUUCAAUAUUUGAAUAUACACAGAUCGAUCUGCCACUGACAGUCACCGGCAUGUUACUCCUCUGAGGAGCUUCCAAGGAAACCAGGCCAACCCAUUGCCUCCAACACUGAAAUUAUCAUAACCGUAAUUGCAAUUUGCUUCGCCAAAGACAAGAUUUUGCAACAAACUUUCGUAACCUAUUUCUUUGUCAGAAAUAAAUAAACCAUAGUAUAUAUGUUGUUAAUGGCAGAGGACAAAAUUUGUUACCUUCAUAUGAUCUCCAUUUCUCUUAUCGUUUCUACAAGGGAUAUAUUAAGAAUUCAAUCGCCAUGGGUUGUCUGGUCUUUAGAUCCAGAAGACGAGCAAAAGUUCAGGUUUCUGGUAGCAUUCUCAAGGAGAAGCGUACAAAGCUUUACAUUAUCAAACGCUGCGUGCUUAUGCUGGUUUGCUGGAGAGACAAUGGAGAUAAGUGAUUACCCCCUUAGUUGCUUUUAUCAAAUGAUUUUAUGUAUUUAUGAUCAUUUUUCACCUGCGACUCCUGUGCUUUAUGCUGCAAGCAAUUCCAUUUACUUUGUUUAGAUAAAUUACAAUUGAUUUACUUUUUAUUGUCCAUUCAUUUACUUGAUUAAAUUUCGCCAGUCUUACAUUAUUAAAAUUGCACUUGCUGGUUAACGCAUUUGCUUUCCAUGACAUCACGAGAAUAACCGGUACCCAGCUCAGUAUAUACUCAUGCUGGCCAUGGCAUGUCCGUGGCAAAGUUUUGUCUCCCCUGUCGGUUCAACUGAUCAAAUAAGGCACGAAACUUAAGAUAGUGACAACGGUAGCAAUUGUCACAGCUAAGAUGCUAAAAGCAACCAAUUUUCUCCUGUCUGUAUUCAGUUAAAGUGCAUUUAGCAGCAGAAUUCCAUCUAAGGCUACUCCACUAUCAAGUCAGGAAAAAGCAGGACUCAGGAUGAAUGAAGAAUGAAUGAAAACCAGGACAAGGCCCUUAAACUUCAGUUCACACUAUAUAGGUGUGAGAUCAAGUCUCUUCAAAGCACCAUAGACAUACCAUAUAAGAAAUAAAAACAAAAUAAACACACAUGCAGAACCAUCUCCACUUACCAGCUUGCAUUCAAAGGGAGCCCGGCAAUAAGUAGGCAGCUUGUUGCUCAGCAACAACUCAGUUAAAAACUCAAAAUUUGAUACUAGUAUAAAUGGAAAUGAAGGGAAAACGUGUACUUAUUGCAGUCCACAGGUAUAUGGUAACAAGGGUAAAUGAUUGCAUCUGGUCUAGUUCUUGCAGCAGUGAAAAUUGUUGACUACUUGGCCCCAUGCAAUAGAACGCCAAAUUAAAAAUUUUCUUACUAUUUAAUUUAAAGAUGCUCAUUUCAAUUUGAAUAGGUACAGAGGCAAGACAAUUCUGAAUUUGCAUGAUCACAUCCACAUACAUCUAGAUUCUAUUAAUCCAUCGUGUAGGCUCCUGAUCAUGUAAAACGGUUCUUAUAUAGCCAUUUAUCUUACUGAAAUCAUACUCCCCUCAUAAUUCGACUAUGCGGCAAAACCAAUAAACGUUUUGGAUAGGAAAAUCAAAUAGCUUAGAACAUUUCUGUGCUGCUUCUUCAAAUGGAUUAAACCCUACAAAGACAGUGACUUAGAAAUCUCAUGAAAGCGAAAUCAAACCUCAGUCUCCUCCCAUCACAAAGCAAUCAAGUAAAAAUUUCAAAGAGCACCCAGACGACCACGAUUAGCCUCCGAGAAUUUGAAGCUCCCAACAAAAUUUCAGAAAAAAAAAAAAGAAAAAAAAAACCCUAAGUGUUGAUUGAUUAAUUAAUCAAGAAGAACAAAAUACAAACCAGGACUGUUAGGGAUACUUGGCACAGUUAUAUGUUGGAAAGUAUUUUGUAAAAAGCAGCACAAAAUUAAACGAACCCCAUACGCUAGACAAUAAUAAUAAACAUUAUCAAGUGAACUAAUGGGCAACGGAGGUGGUGGUGGCAGCGGCAGUUAGAUAAGCCUCGGGGUUGUCGUGAACUGUGGGCUUGGAGAGCAUAAGAGGUCGAUCCUUGGCCUCUUCGUCAUCAUCGUCGUCGAGGUCGGUGGUGUUUAGGUUGAUGCAAGAGCAGCGUUCGAGGGACGCGAAGAAAGCAGAGGCCACGUUGCUCCCCACCCAAUUGGCCACACGAUCCAGCUUAUCGCAUGAGAUAAAGCUGCAGCUGUUGUUUUCCAUCUUCUAUCCCUGAAUUGAGUGAUAAAUUUGGGUUUGCUUGAGUUCUAGCCAGAGGCGGAGAGAUAAUGAAACAGAUGAAAGAAAGUAAUUAUAGAAGGUAAUGAUAAAAGCGACGGACAAACAACUAUUCAAAGGAAGCUUUGAUUUUUGGGUUUCUUUCUCUUUUAUAACGGACCACUUGUUAUUUGUCUCUUAUUUCGG